AGGAGGGUGCAUAGGAGGGUGCAAGGGAGGGUGUAAGGGAGGGUGCAAGGGAGGGUGUAAGGGAGGGCACAUAGGAGGGUGAAAGGGAGGGUGCAAGGGAGGGUGCAUAGGAGGGUGUAAGGUAGGGUGCAUAGGAGGGUGCAUGGGAGGGUGUAAGGAAGGGCGCAUAGGAGGGUGCAUGGGUGGGCGCAUAGGAGGGUGCAAGGGAGGGCGCAUAGGAGGGUGCAUAGGAGGGUGUAAGGGAGGGCGCAUAGGAGGGUGCAAGGGAGGGCGCAAGGGAGGACGCAUAGGAGGGUGCAAGGGAGGGCGCAUAGGAGGGUGCAAGGGAGGGUGUAAGGGAGGGUGCAAGGGAGGGUGUAAGGGAGGGCGAUAGGAGGGUGCAAGGGAGGGUGCAAGGGAGGGUGCAAGGGAGGGUGUAAGGGAGGGUGUAAGGGAGGGCGCAUAGGAGGGUGCAUGGGCGGGCGCAUAGGAGGGUGCAAGGGAGGGCGCAUAGGAGGGUGCAUAGGAGGGUGUAAGGGAGGGCGCAUAGGAGGGUGCAAGGGAGGGGCGGGGCAUAGGAGGGUGCAAGGGAGGGCGCAUAGGAGGGUGCAAGGGAGGGGUGCAUAGGGAGGGUGCAAGGGAGGGCGCAUAGGAGGGUGCAAGGGAGGGUGCAUAGGAGGGUGCAAGGGAGGGUGCAAGGGAGGGUGCAUAGGAGGGUAUAAGGGAGGGCGCAUAGGAGGGUGCAAGGGAUGGUGUAAGGGAUGGGUGCAAGGGAGGGUGUAAGGGAGGGCGCAUAGGAGGGUGCAAGGGAGGGUGCAUAGGAGGGUGCAUGGGAGGAUGUAAGGGAGGGCGCAUAAUAGGAGGGUGCAUGGGAGGGCGCAUAGGAGGGCGUAAGGGAGCUUCCUAACCUGUCUGAAUGGAUAGACUUCAGCUUCCUAACCUAUUAGACCGUAAGGUGGAGCUAUAAUAUACUACUGGAGCUAUAAUAUACUACUGGAG
ensembl:lncRNA